ACAGUGUUAGUAUAUUUAAUAUUUUAUCUUUCCAAGUUAAGGAUCUUCGUUGUAAGGCACUGUA
rnacentral:tRNA from 1 species